rnacentral:rRNA from 1 species
UACGUAGGGUGCAAGCGUUGUCCGGAAUUAUUGGGCGUAAAGAGCUCGUAGGCGGCUUGUCGCGUCGAAUGUGAAAUCUCAGGGCUCAACUCUGACAUUGCAUUCGAUACGGGCAGGCUAGAGUUCGGUAGGGGAGACUGGAAUUCCUGGUGUAGCGGUGAAAUGCGCAGAUAUCAGGAAGAACACCGGUGGCGAAGGCGGCUCUCUGGGCCUUACCUGACGCUCAGGUGCGAAAGCGUGGGGAGCGAACCGG